rnacentral:rRNA from 1 species
UUACCCAAUCCUAAUACAGGGAGGUAGUGACAAGAAAUAACAAUACAGGACUUUUUGGUUUUGUAAUUGGAAUGAGUUAAGUAUAAACCCCUUUACAAGUAUCAAUUGGAGGGCAAGUCUGGUGCCAGCAGCCGCGGUAAUUCCAGCUCCAAUAGCGUAUAUUAAAGUUGUUGCAGUUAAAAAGCUCGUAGUUGGAUUUCUGUUAAUAAUUUAUAUAAAAUAUUUUGAUGAAUAUUUAUAUAAUAUUAACAUAAUUC